CAGAGAUGCUGUAACCCGAAUAUCUUUCUACUACUACCAACCUCAGGAGCUCGGACCCAGGAACCACGGGGAGGGGCCAAGUUGCUGUCCAAGGAUUCCCAAAAGCCAGAUCUUCCCCCUGUCAUGAAGGUCUAAGACGUUCUUGGCUUACCAGACUUAGCAACAAAAUAACAAAUGACCCCAUCCAAAAGUGGGGAGAGGAUGUGAACAGAAUAUUCACCACAGAAGAGAUCCAAAAGGACAACAGACAUAUGAAAAAAAUGUGCCAAGUCACUGAUUGUGAAAGAAAUGCAAAUAUAGACCCAAUGAAAUACCACUUCACCACUAUGAGAAUGGCAUACAGCAGAAAGAAUAA